CACGUAGGGGGCGAGCGUUGUCCGGAUUUAUUGGGCGUAAAGAGCUCGUAGGCGGCUUGGUAAGUCAGGUGUGAAACCUCCAGGCUCAACCUGGAGACGCCACUUGAUACUGCCAUAGCUAGAGUCCGGUAGGGGAGCGUGGAAUUUCUGGUGUAGCGGUGAAAUGCGCAGAUAUCAGAAGGAACACCGGUGGCGAAGGCGGGUCUCUGGGCCGAUACUGACGCUGAGGAGCGAAAGCGUGGGGAGCGAACAGG
rnacentral:rRNA from 1 species